rnacentral:rRNA from 1 species
UACGGGGGAUGCAAGCGUUAUCCGGAUUUAUUGGGUUUAAAGGGUGCGUAGGCUGUGAGGUAAGUCAGCGGUGAAAUGCCCCCGCUCAACGGGGUGAAGUGCCAUUGAUACUGCCUUGCUGGAAUGCGGAUGCCGUGGGAGGAAUGUGUGGUGUAGCGGUGAAAUGCAUAGAUAUCACACAGAACACCGAUUGCGAAGGCAUCUCACGAAUCCGCGACUGACGCUGAUGCACGAAAGCGUGGGUAUCAAACAGG